rnacentral:rRNA from 1 species
GGAUUAGAUGCCCUGGUAGUCCACGCCGUAAACGAUGUCGACUUGGAGGUUGUGCCCUUGAGGCGUGGCUUCCGGAGCUAACGCGUUAAGUCGACCGCCUGGGGAGUACGGCCGCAAGGUUAAAACUCAAAUGAAUUGACGGGGGCCCGCACAAGCGGUGGAGCAUGUGGUUUAAUUCGAUGCAACGCGAAGAACCUUACCUGGUCUUGACAUCCACAGAACUUUCCAGAGAUGGAUUGGUGCCUUCGGGAACUGUGAGACAGGUGCUGCAUGGCUGUCGUCAGCUCGUGUUGUGAAAUGUUGGGUUAAGUCCCGCAACGAGCGCAACCCUUAUCCUUUGUUGCCAGCGGUCCGGCCGGGAACUCAAAGGAGACUGCCAGUGAUAAACUGGAGGAAGGUGGGGAUGACGUCAAGUCAUCAUGGCCCUUACGACCAGGGCUACACACGUGCUACAAUGGCGCAUACAAAGAGAAGCGACCUCGCGAGAGCAAGCGGACCUCAUAAAGUGCGUCGUAGUCCGGAUUGGAGUCUGCAACUCGACUCCAUGAAGUCGGAAUCGCUAGUAAUCGUGGAUCAGAAUGCCACGGUGAAUACGUUCCCGGGCCUUGUACACACCGCCCGUCACACCAUGGGAGUGGGUUGCAAAAGAAGUAGGUAGCUUAACCUUCGGGAGGGCGCUUACCACUUUGUGAUUCAUGACUGGGGUGAAGUCGUAACAAGGUAACCGUAGGGGAACCUGCGGUUG